UGCCGGAAAGACCACCUUGCUCCACAUGUUGAAAGAUGAGAGGUUAGUACAACAUCAGCCAACACAGUAUCCUACAUCAGAGGAGUUGAGCAUCGGAAAAAUUAAGUUUAAGGCGUUUGAUUUGGGAGGUCACCAGAUUGCUCGUAGAGUUUGGAAGGACUACUAUGCUAAGGUCGAUGCCGUGGUAUACCUGGUGGAUGCCUAUGAUAAAGAGAGAUUUGCAGAAUCCAAAAAAGAACUUGACGCCCUCCUUUCAGAU
rnacentral:misc_RNA from 1 species